GGUGAACGCUGGCGGUAGGCCUAACACAUGCAAGUCGAACGGCAGCACAGUAAGAGCUUGCUCUUACGGGUGGCGAGUGGCGGACGGGUGAGGAAUACAUCGGAAUCUACUUUUUCGUGGGGGAUAACGUAGGGAAACUUACGCUAAUACCGCAUACGACCUACGGGUGAAAGCAGGGGAUCUUCGGACCUUGCGCGAUUGAAUGAGCCGAUGUCGGAUUAGCUAGUUGGCGGGGUAAAGGCCCACCAAGGCGACGAUCCGUAGCUGGUCUGAGAGGAUGAUCAGCCACACUGGAACUGAGACACGGUCCAGACUCCUGCGGGAGGCAGCAGUGGGGAAUAUUGGACAAUGGGCGCAAGCCUGAUCCAGCCAUACCGCGUGGGUGAAGAAGGCCUUCGGGUUGUAAAGCCCUUUUGUUGGGAAAGAAAAGCAGCAGGUUAAUACCCCGCUGUUCUGACGGUACCCAAAGAAUAAGCACCGGCUAACUUCGUG
rnacentral:rRNA from 1 species